GCUCCAGUGGCGCAAUCGGUCAGCGCGCGGUACUUAUAAUGCCGAGGUUGUGAGUUCGAGCCUCACCUGGAGCA